CUGUAACAGAACCCACCAGAAGGAAUAAAUUCCGGACGCAGCAACAGCACAAAGUUAAACCAGGAAGUCCCUCUGCCUUGCUAGGGAUCCAGGCUUGCCUUCCUGUUGAGGUAUCCCAUUUCAUCAGUUGACCUAAGUUUGAACAAACACUGCCACCUGAUGCAUGAAAACUCUACUGUGACCUACGUUAAAAGGAGCUGACACGCCUUCAGGCUACCUUAGUCAGUGGGGGCUUGUUGCAGCAUACCUGUGGCAAUGAGAGAGAGGCACAUCACAGGAGCAUCUGGCAGCAGUGGCCUCCGGGUGAGUGAAAUGUUAUAUGGACACUGGAAGGAUCUAACACUGAGGCGGCCCUUCAUCUCCGUGCUGUUCACUGCGAGCAUGCCUCGGCUGCUCUUCCGUGUUCAUCCUGAUGCUCCUCAUGACACUGAUUGAUUGUUUUUUGGAAUUUCCCAGUUCACAUUCCCAAGAGAACCCAUUGCCCUAUUUAAUCAUCUCUUCUGUUGCUGAGGAACUUUGUGCAGUACUGGGGUUGCUUGCUGCCUUAAUGUCGGGGGUUGGCCAGGCAUCCGGUCAUAGGGCAGAGUAGGCUCUUGUGGUAUAGAAAUGGCCACCCUCCUUCCAGGAGCAGCCGGUCCUCUUCCUCAGCACAGCAGGGAAAGGUGAGGAAGAGGCUAGUUUGCCUUGGAAGAGGAUUUUGAGAAAAGGUUGGACCAUCUAAAAUACAUUUGACAAUUCUCUAUUCCGAAACCCUGAAUAAUCCUUGGAGGUCACUCACCGUGCAGGAGGCUGAAGAAGGGUAACACUGACACAACUGCAGACACAGACCCUCCUGACUCCACCUCUAUCCUACCCUAGAACUAGAUUAAAGAGAGACUCUGGAGAACUUACUCAUACCCAAUGGGGUACUUCUGCAUUUCUCUAGAGUCAGGAGACACUUUCCGUUUGUGAAUAUUUAUACUUCUGAAGACAUUUGCAGAUCUUCAAACUGUUGGUUAAACAGUAGUUUAUACUGUCCCCCCUAUAAUUCAGAAACGCGUAACUUCAAACGAAUGAUGA